rnacentral:rRNA from 1 species
AAUAGAUACCCCGGUAGUCCACGCCGUAAACGAUGAGUACUAGGUGUAGGGGGUAUCGACCCCCCCUGUGCCGCAGUAAACACAAUAAGUACUCCGCCUGGGAAGUACGAUCGCAAGAUUAAAACUCGAAGGAAUUGACGGGGACCCGCACAAGCAGCGGAGCAUGUGGUUUAAUUCGAAGCAACGCGAAGAACCUUACCUGGACUUGACAUCCCCUGAAUAACUCGUAAUGGAGGAAGCCCUUCGGGGCAGGGAGACAGGUGGUGCAUGGUUGUCGUCAGCUCGUGUCGUGAGAUGUUAGGUUAAGUCCUGCAACGAGCGCAACCCCUGUCGUUAGUUGCCAUCACGUAAAGGUGGGCACCCUAACGAGACUGCCGCGGUUAACGUGGAGGAAGGUGGGGAUGACGUCAAAUCAUCAUGCCCCUUAUGUCCAGGGCAACACACGUGCUACAAUGGGCAGAACAGAGAGAAGCAAUACCGCGAGGAGGAGCAAAUCUCAAAAACCUGCCCCCAGUUCGGAUUGCAGGCUGAACCCGCUGCA